rnacentral:lncRNA from 1 species
AAAAUGUGUUGGUCUUAGUUCUUUUGUAAUUAAGUCUGGAUGUACCUCAAAAGACUCUUUAAGACUGUGGUGUUAAAGGCUUUCCUC